AUCAAGAAGCCAGUGCGGUCAGUGAAGAAAGAUGUCCAAGUCGAAGGCUUCAAGCAUCGCCGAUGGGGCCGAACGAGCGAGUCAAACCGGAGUCCAGACGAGAAGCGGAGCAUCGACGCGCCCCGCGGCUCCACCGGUUAUAGCAGAGAUGGAAAAUUA